GUGUCAGCCGCCGCGGUAAUACGUAGGGUGCUAACGUUGUUCGGAAUCACUGGGCAUAAAGAGCGCGUAGGCGGUCUGAUAAGUCAGGUGUGAAAUCCCCCGGCUCAACCGGGGAACUGCACCUGAUACUGUUGGGCUUGAGUGCAGGAGGGGAGAGCGGAAUUCCUGGUGGAGCGGUGAAAUGCGUAGAUAUCAGGAGGAACGCCGGCGGCGAAAGCGGCUCUCUGGCCUGUUACUGACGCUGAGGCGCGAAAGCUAGGGGAGCAAACGGGAUUAGAUACCCCGGUAGUCCUAGCCCUAAACGAUGGGUACUAAGUAGAGGAAAUUCCGAUAUUUUCUCUGCCGGAGCUAAUGUAUUAAGUACCCCGCCUGGGGAGUAUGGUCGCAAGGCUAAA
rnacentral:rRNA from 1 species